GGCUCGUUGGUCUAGGGGUUAGAUUCCCGCUUCGGGUGCGAGAGGUCCCGGGAUCAAAUCCCGGUCGAGCACA
rnacentral:tRNA from 1 species